rnacentral:lncRNA from 1 species
UAGGGGCCAGUGUAGAAACUGGGCUUAUGGGCCNNNNNNNAAACUGGGCUUAUGGGCCAGACGAAACUGGGCUUAGGGGCCAGUGUAGAAACUAGGCUUAUGGGCCAGACAAAACUGGGCUUAUGGGCCAGACGAAACUGGGCUUAUGGGCCAGUGUGAAACUGGGCUUAGGGGGCUAGUGUAGAAACUGAGCUUAGGGGCCAGUGUGGAAACUGAGCUUAUGGGCCAG